rnacentral:rRNA from 1 species
ACCCUUUCGCUCCUAGCGUCAGUUACGGCCCAGAGAUCUGCCUUCGCCAUCGGUGUUCCUCCUGAUAUCUGCGCAUUCCACCGCUACACCAGGAAUUCCAAUCUCCCCUACCGCACUCUAGUCUGCCCGUACCCACUGCAGGCCCGAGGUUGAGCCUCGGGAUUUCACAGCAGACGCGACAAACCGCCUACGAGCUCUUUACGCCCAAUAAUUCCGGAUAACGCUUGCGCCCUACGUAUUACCGCGGCUGCUGGCACGUAGUUAGCCGGCGCUUUUUCUGCAGGUACCGUCACUUUCGCUUCUUCCCUGCUAAAAGAGGUUUACAACCCGAAGGCCGUCAUCCCUCACGCGGCGUUGCUGCAUCAGGCUUCCGCCCAUUGUGCAAUAUUCCCCACUGCUGCCUCCCGUAGGAGUCUGGGCCGUGUCUCAGUCCCAGUGUGGCCGGUCACCCUCUCAGGCCGGCUACCCGUCGACGCCUUGGUGAGCCAUUACCUCACCAACAAGCUGAUAGGCCGCGAGCCCAUCCCCAACCAAAAAAUCUUUCCAACAACUGGCCAUGCGGCCGUUGCUCGUAUCCAGUAUUAGACGCCGUUUCCAGCGCUUAUCCCAGAGUCAGGGGCAGGUUGCUCACGUGUUACUCACCCGUUCGCCACUGAUCCACAGAGCAAGCUCUGCUUCACCGUUCGACUU